rnacentral:misc_RNA from 1 species
UACUCUCACACUUCCGAUCUUGCAUUGGGAGCGGUGGACUUGGGUUUGCUGCUUUACCGUAGCUUACCUCAAAUGGGUUAGUGCAGCUCUUGGUUGGACAUAGUACGGCGUGAUAAGUAUCUUCGCUGGUGCCUCGCAAGAGGGUGGCCGAUCGGGAGCUCUGUGCUUUCAAACCGUCUUCGGACAAUUUCUGACA